CUCUUGCUGUACUAGGACGCGACUUUGUUUGGGUAGCUUUGUCUAUGGCUAUAGGUUUGCCCGCAACUGACGCUAUUGGCAACAACGCCUUCAUUGCAAACAGCUCCGUUGGCAAAUUAGGCAGUAAAAUCCAUACCAUUGCUUUCGUCGUUUCCUCAUUUACAUUAAAAUCAAGGGACCAUGGAAAUAUUCGGAUUUGAUG
rnacentral:lncRNA from 1 species